GGCACCGAAUACAGCACAGUGUUGGUAGUCAAAAAUAACACUCAACUUUAAAAUAAAGGCAUUAGAAAUAAAUAAGUGGUCCAACUUUAAUAGUUGUAACAAGUACUACAAAAAAUAGUGGUCCCAGCAUAGUUGAAAUGUGAAAGUACAGUACAAAAAAGUGGUCCAUCUAUAGGCACUACUGCAUGUGCCACUACCUACUUUAAAUAAAAUAUUUGGUCCACUACAACUUGUCUCAAAUAACAACUUUAAAUACAAAGAUUUUCCUCUACUCAAUUACAACUUGCUUGAGACCCUAGAAAUUGUCCAGCCAGUCUUGAAGAAGCUCUUGUUCCCCGCUGUACAGCCCCUUCUUCUCUGCCUGCAGAUCCUCCAGCUUGUGAUGUUGAGGAUGAUGCCCCCCUUGCAGAUGCAGCCCUUCCUGCAGAUGCAACCCUUGCAGAUGUAACCCUUGCAGCAGAUCCAGGUGUUGAUACAGCCCUUGCAGCAAAUCCAAGUGUUGAUGCAGCCCUUGCAGCAGAUCCAGGUGUUGAAGCAGAUGCACCCCUUUUGUCCUAUGAAAGGAGACAUUAAUAAAGAAGAGGAACCAAGUCUGUGCAACUCAAGGAAGCUGGUACAAAAGCAAAGAACAAAGGCAAACAAAGUGGAAAAGAAUACCUCUGGCGCUCAGCGCCAUCUUCUUGCCGCCCAGCGCCAGCAACAUCAAAAGAAUACCUCUGGCGCUCAGCGCCAUCUUCCUGCCGCCCAGCGCCAGCAACAUCAGAUUCAUCUUCUUCAUCGAGUUGCUGAGCUGGCAACUGUAGCUUGCACCCUAAGCUUCCCAAGNUGUGUAGCUUCCCCAGCACGCCUCUUUUACACCUUUAGUAGCUUGCUAGGCACGUUUUGGAGUCCUCUCUUCAUCUAUAAAAGGGAGACUCAUACCAUUGUAAAGGCAACUUUGAAUUGAUAAUGAAAUGCUGUUGAGAUUUCUCCAAACAUUCCUUUCAGAGUUCAAACACUUUGUGCCUAUUCUGCACAUUCUCCUCUAGCUUCCUUCCCCCUUGGAAGGCUUUCGGAGCUUGAGAAUCCUUGCUUCUUCCACACACCUUCAUUGAAGCCUUCAUCAAACACCUUCCGUGCUUCUUGUUGCACCUUCAUUCCGCUGCCAUCUCUGGACUUGGAGGCUGUUCGUGAUUGAAUUCCAACGAUGCUUCCAUCAUUUGGCAUCAAGAGCCAGCCGUUCCAGUCACGCUUCAAGAGCUAAGUGUCUCGUCCCAAUUCCUCUGUUUUUCCGUCUUGUACUGUUCUUUGCACUGUCGAAUUACUUUUAUGUUUUGAUUCCUUCUGAUUAGAGUGAAUUUUGUUUGGUUCACUGUUCCUUAGGUGUGUUUCAUCAUUUUAAUCGGUGCUUUUUGUUUGUUUUGAUUCAAUUUCAACCUCUACUUUCAGAUCCGUAUUGUCACGGUCAUGUGCAACUCUCUGUUGCAGUUUUAAUUUGUUUUACGUGUUGAUGCUGUUCAGCUUUCGAUUUUUAUUUUUAUUUUUUUUUUUUUUUCGUUUUGCGUAUGUCCAGUGGUUGCAAUCUUUCUAUUAAUCAUGACAAGCAUUAAUAUCGUAUCUGGCUUGGCUGAUUUGAAUUGAUAGUUGUACUCUUUGUGUUUCAAUUCCAACUUCUGCAGAACAAUUGCAUCUCUCGGGUUUUCAUAUUUGAAUAUAAUUUUCAUCCCGAGUUUGGUAUUAUAUGCUUCAGGCAUGUUUGUUUGAUGAUUGCAACUGUGUUUCAAUUGAUACCAACUUGUAAGCUUCACAGCAUCUCAAAAAAAGUAGUUGAGUUGAGUGAAAUAUGCUGUCAAAAAAAAAUAAAAUUUGCAUCAAAGAUCAAUUCUGGCCUGAUUUUGUAUAAUCUGUUUGGUCCAGAAUUUUUGUUUCUGAAGCUUGGUACAAGUUCCUUUGAAGUUCUUAAACAUGUGUCAAACUGUUUCAACUAAUAUUACAGGUUGAUUUGUGAAAAUCAUAUUUCAGUUGUUUCAAAAUUGGAAGAAACUGUGCUAUCAUUUUUUCCAGACACUGUUAUAGUGUUUACAGCUAUGCACCGUGCUGAAUUUUCCUUGCUGUCUGAUAGGAUGUAUGAAUCUACUAGCUAUUAAUAAUCUUGAGCUAGAUCUAGUUGUUUAGGUAAAUUCUUAUUGUUUUCUUGAUCUAUCCAGCUUUGCAUCUCAGAUUUUCUUUGUUUCUGCUGCUGUUUGCUCCAUUUUGCUGUAUAAUUGGCAACUCAAUACGUGAUUUGGAGCUUGAGUCUGUUUCUGUGCAUUUAAACUGUUUCUACAGGUCUAAUUGAGCAUUUGAAACUUAUUACCAUUGUUGGUUUGGUCAUUUUUCCCUGCCUAUACAGACUAUACAUUUUGGUUCCAUUUUGCUUGAAUUUCUCAACUAGACCAUUCAUUUUGAGAUCCUGACAGUUUUGCUGCUGUUUCAUUGAUUGUUGAAUCAUAUUUUGAGCAUUGAAAGUUGAUCAUGACUGUACAUUUGGUCAAUCUUCUCAAAUUCUGCAGAACUCAUAAUUCCACCAUCCAUUUUGAGUGAAAUUGGCAACUUACAGUAUCAUUUGACAUAUUUCACUAAAUUUGUGCAUGUUAACUGGUUGCACAAGUUUAUUUGAUCAUUUAAAUCUAGUAGAUAUUGUUCAUUUGGUCAAAAUUGGACUGCUUUGCAAAAUCACCAUUCCAUCCAUCAAAUUUGCUUGAUUUUGGGAAGUGACCUAGUGAAUUUCUGUUGCAGGCCAUUUCUUUGUUGUUUGAGUAUUUGAACACAUAUAUUAUGAUCAUAUAAAGUUGAUUGAAGUGUCAUUAAACCAUUUACCUCACUACCAUUCAAAUUCACCACUGCUGUUUCUCAUUUUUCAGUCAUUUUCACUGCUGCAGUACGGCUUCCUAGCUAUUUCCAUAUAAGAUUUUUGGUUGUGUAAAAUUGGAUUGGCAAAAGCUGGGAUUUACCUUCUAAACAUUUCCAAUGUUCACCCACAUCUAAAAGCAUAAAUAAAAAGCAAUUCAAUCCCUGCAAUCCAGUUCCAGAAAUCAAAAAUCAGAAAAAAAUAUCAAAACUGCACUUCAUUGGGGACUUUUAUCAAAUAGUUUGGAAAUUUCAUCAAACAGUUUCACUGCACAGAAUUUCCUCAUUGUUUUUGAGUUUUUCUUACUUUUAUAAUCUGUUCUAGUUCCUUUCCUAGGCUCCUUUUGUGUGCUACCUUUUAUUCCAGCUGUAUCUCACUUGAAUUCAUCAUUUUUGGCUUCCAUACUAUGCUAGCAAAUUGGUUUUUGGCUAAUUAAAAUUCUGGUGNAGCANCUGACCAUUAGCUCACNGUUUGGUGUAUUUGGCAGUGGUGUGUGACUUCUUUUUGAGGUGAUCCAGGUUCCAGCAAGCUUCCUCCAAGAGGGUAGCAUCUUAGGGAGUGGAGAGUUUGUAGAAUUGGCCACAAAGGUUGUUCUCCAAGCUGCAUUCUUGUGCAGUUUCAGCAGCAUUCUCCACCUUUUCCACCACAAAUUCAAACACUUUGGAGAUAGGAUAUAUUCAGAUUUUGUAGCCUACAAUUUGUAUACAUACUAUAGCUCAUUUUAUCACUUGUAUGACCUUGUAUCACGGAACCUUUGAAGUUU